rfam:Coriobacteriales bacterium DNF00809 genomic scaffold Scaffold248, whole genome shotgun sequence.
GUGGGUGUAGUUCAGUUGGCUAGAACGCCAGAUUGUGGCUCUGGAGGUCGUCGGUUCGAGUCCGAUCAUCCACC